rnacentral:rRNA from 1 species
UACAGAGGGGGCAAGCGUUGUUCGGAAUUACUGGGCGUAAAGGGCGCGUAGGCGGCCACCGCAAGUCGACUGUGAAAUCUCCGGGCUUAACUCGGAAAGGUCAGCCGAUACUGCGGGGCUAGAGUGCAGAAGGGGCAACUGGAAUUCUCGGUGUAGCGGUGAAAUGCGUAGAUAUCGAGAGGAACACCUGCGGCGAAGGCGGGUUGCUGGGCUGACACUGACGCUGAUUGUGCGAAAGCUAGGGGAGCGAACGGG